rnacentral:rRNA from 1 species
AGAGCGAACGCUGGCGGCAGGCCUAACACAUGCAAGUCGAACGGACUCUUCGGAGUUAGUGGCGGACGGGUGAGUAACACGUGGGAGCGUGCCUUUAGGUUCGGAAUAGCUCCUGGAAACGGGUGGUAGUACCGAAGUGUGCCCUUCGGGGGAAAGAUUUAUCGCCUUUAGAGCGGCCCGCGUCUGAUUAGCUUGUUGGUGAGGUAAUGGCUCACCAAGGCUACGAUCAGUAGCUGGUCUGAGAGGAUGACCAGCCACAUUGGGACUGAGACCACGGACCCCAAACUCCGUACGGGUAGACACGGCGAGGU